rnacentral:rRNA from 1 species
GUGGGGAAUAUUGGACAAUGGGCGCAAGCCUGAUCCAGCCAUGCCGCGUGAGUGAUGAAGGCCUUAGGGUUGUAAAGCUCUUUCAGUAGGGAAGAUAAUGACGGUACCUACAGAAGAAGCCCCGGCUAACUUCGUGCCAGCAGCCGCGGUAAUACGAAGGGGGCUAGCGUUGUUCGGAUUUACUGGGCGUAAAGCGCACGUAGGCGGAUUGGUCAGUUAGAGGUGAAAUCACGAAGCUCAACUUCGGAACUGCCUUUAAUACUGCCAGUCUCGAGUCCGGAAGAGGUGAGUGGAACUCCUAGUGUAGAGGUGGAAUUCGUAGAUAUUAGGAAGAACACCAGUGGCGAAGGCGGCUCACUGGUCCGGUACUGACGCUGAGGUGCGAAAGCGUGGGGAGCAAACAGGAUUAGAUACCCUUGUAGUCC